AUGAGAGGUUUAGGCCCUUGGGAGCAUUAUUGGAGCUAACGAUUCAUCCUCUCCCAGUGAUCCUAAAGGCUACUGUUAUUAUUACCCUGAUUUUCAGGGGGAGGAGAGAAAGGAGCCGCAGAAGGUAAAGAGCCCGUGUAGGAAUUUGGUAGAGGAGCGGGGUUAGAAAGCAGAGCUCGGGGUUGAUUCCUCUGCUGGGGAGCAGCAGCGGGGCUCCACCGGGCAGCAGAAACAGCGGUGCAAGUGCAGUUGGAGUCGUACACCGAGGUCUGGCUGAGGAGAGGGCACUCCUUGUGCCGUAUUCCCCAGCCGCUCCGCUUGACUGUAAAUAUUUAACCACGUUGGGUUGGGAACACCAGCUGUCCAGGCUGACGCAGAGUCACUCACUCCGGGGCAAGGGCUGAGCCGGUGGAGAAUGGAGCAGAUUCACCCAGGAGAAGCACUCGUGGGCCCUGCUGAGACCUGUCUGGAGGAAUAAAGGAGAAAGCAAGGACGUAACUCCUCAUCUAUUGGGGUCCGGCGGCAGCACCGGGAGAGGCAAAGAUCCCAAGGAAGAGGCUCCUGGCUCCUGGCACUGACGAUUUUCUCCAGACGAACAGCAUUUACUCCACGUUUGACACCUGCGGUACAGAGCUGGGUGCAUAGCUGUACAAAACAUGAUGGAUUGUUCCCAUUCAUAACAGGUGAGUUUCUGCCUCCAGCAGCAUCCUGACACUCCCACAGAAUAUGUUCCCCUUGUAUACUGCAACACACAAAAUCCCUUCAGGUCCCACUCAGUGGGACUGCAGAUAUUCUCAGGGGUGAAGAAUGAGGCGUUUAUGGCCUGACAUCAUUGCAAGAUCCCCACAGACUUUGGAAGAUGCCGAAACCUCUGCCUUUCCCUGUGCACUGACAACAUCCUGAUCUGUUAUUGUGGCUGAAUUCACCCUGCACAGCUCUGCCCAAACCACUUUCUUCAUCAAAAGCAGAUCCCAACCAGCUUUCUUAUCCAGGGGUGCUUCCCCCCUCGCCACCCUGCAGCCUGGCCAUCGCAUCUGUGGCUCUUGGCAGCCCAACGUGACGCUGACCUGAGCUUCCCUCCUGCACAGGCUGCUGCUCCACCAAGCAGAGGCCAGUGCAGCUGCGGUUUGCUGACAGCCCCGCGGGUGAUCAUGAUGAGCAGGGAGAGCCUGCCAUGCCCUCUGUGCAUACAGCAUUCCAACCUUCUCCACCCCCUUCACAGUACCCGCUUGCUGAGUCCCCUGUUACACCAACACAGCCCAUCUGGUAUGUGCCCCCCUCUGCUACGCAGUUUUGCUCCCUUGCCCCGCUUGCCGGGCGGCUUUGUGGGCCCCUGAGCUGUCACAGUGCGAGCGUUGGCCGCCUCCACCCCACCAAAGAGAAGCUAAUGCUGUGUGACAUCUCACUCCCAGCACAUCACACACAGAAGACGAGACCAGCUGAGCCUGCUCCCUGCUUCCUGUCUUGGAAACUUCCAGCACCAGACACCUAAGCCUCCCUGCAAAGAGCUUUUUCAAGGUGAUGGAAGGGUUUUUUAAUGCACCUGAAAUCAGCUUGUAGCGGGCUUGGCUGCCUUCUUUCUCCCCAGAGCAGGUAACUCAGCAGCGGCAGACUGGGUCACAGGCUGAUUCCUACUCCACUCCAACCAAACCAGGAGCAGCCACGUUAGAGGAGAUUCAGAACUGCCAGGAGCAGGCAGUCUCACCGGCUUCUCCAUACCAGAGGCUGUCUGUAUCGCCUGUGGCUGUGCAUGGCAAAAGCCAUCAAUAAGGUCUACUAGCAAGGAACCUGGGUAAAAGUUUCUGUCCUCUUCUCCUGCUUCCAUAGAACACACUCAGCCCAGCCCUGCAGGCUUCUUUUAGCUGCCUCCAUCCCUGCUCUGUGGAGAGAGUUUGCGCAGGAGUCAGAGACAGGCGAGGGCCGUUGCUAUUCGCAGCCAUCGCAGUGCCUGUGCUUCAGCCGCUUGCUGAUAAAAUGCCCCUCACCGCAGAAACAAAGAGCAGCUUCUGAAAAAAAAUAACCUACUCGCCCUCUACCUCCAAACCAGGCUUGAUCCUGACUGACAGCUUGGGAAAGUUCCUAAUUAUGUCCCCUGGACACUUUGGAGGCGACCCACCCCAGAGCGUGAUGUGAUGGCUCAGCGACUGGAUGGCCUCGUUUGUACUGAUUUAUAUUACCGAGCCAGAUUGAGCCUCAUCAGCCUGGCUUGACCUAGUUUUCCUC